UACGAAGGGGGGCUAGCGUUGCUCGGAAUCACUGGGCGUAAAGGGUGCGUAGGCGGGUUUUUUAAGUCAGAGGUGAAAUCCUGGAGCUCAACUCCAGAACUGCCUUUGAUACUGAAAGUCUUGAGUGUGGGAGAGGUGAGUGGAACUGCGAGUGUAGAGGUGAAAUUCGUAGAUAUUCGCAAGAACACCAGUGGCGAAGGCGGCUCACUGGCCCAUUACUGACGCUGAGGCACGAAAGCGUGGGGAGCAAACAGGG
rnacentral:rRNA from 1 species